GACGAACGCUGGCGGCGUGCUUAACACAUGCAAGUCGAACGGAAAGGCCCUGCUUUUGUGGGGUGCUCGAGUGGCGAACGGGGGAGUAACACGUGAGUAACCUGCCCUUGACUUUGGGAUAACUUCAGGAAACUGGGGCGAAUACAGGAGAGGAGCUCCUGCUGCAUGGGGGGGGAUGGAAAGUUUCGGCGGUUGGGGAUGGACUCGCGGCUUAUCAGCUUGUUGGUGGGGUAGUGGCUUACCAAGGCUUUGACGGGUAGCCGGCCUGAGAGGGUGACCGGCCACAUUGGGACUGAGAUACGGCCCAGACUCCUACGGGAGGCAGCAGUGGGGAAUAUUGCACAAUGGGCGGAAGCCUGAUGCAGCAACGCCGCGUGCGGGAUGACGGCCUUCGGGUUGUAAACCGCUUUCGCCUGUGACGAAGCGUGAGUGACGGUAAUGGGUAAAGAAGCACCGGCUAACUACGUG
rnacentral:rRNA from 1 species